UACGUAUGGUGCAAGCGUUAUCCGGAUUUACUGGGUGUAAAGGGAGCGCAGGCGGUGCGGCAAGUCUGAUGUGAAAGCCCGGGGCUCAACCCCGGUACUGCAUUGGAAACUGUCGUACUAGAGUGUCGGAGGGGUAAGCGGAAUUCCUAGUGUAGCGGUGAAAUGCGUAGAUAUUAGGAGGAACACCAGUGGCGAAGGCGGCUUACUGGACGAUAACUGACGCUGAGGUUCGAAAGCGUGGGGAGCAAACAGG
rnacentral:rRNA from 1 species